GCUCAUGUGAGCUUGUGGAAAACAAAAUAGGAAACUCAUAUUUUCUUCCUCCUCAUUUCCUUCCUUCAAUGUGCAGGGCAAUAGUAAAUAGGAAAUUUCCUAUUUUCUAGUCCCACGAUCAAGUAGUAAAGGAAAAGGAAAAUUGUUCCUCUAAUUCAUGAUUCUUCAGCGAAUUCAAGAGCCUAAUUUAGGAAUAUGGAGCAUAUGAGAUUAUUUCUUUCCAUCUCUACAAAUAAUUUCCCUAAAAUUGAUAAUUAGGGAUUUCUCAAUUGGGUAUAUAAAUAAAUCCCUAAUUUCUACCGCAACAAGACAUGCAAGCAUUUUCUGAUUUUUUAGUAAACAGAAACGAGGGAGAAUUGGAGUAAAUUAGCAGUCUUUGGGCUGCAAUUGGAGCGAGGUGAACAACAAGGAGACGACAGUUUCGAGUACGAGUGCCGGCAGAAAUUCGUCCAGUAUUGAAAAUAGAGCGGACAGCCAGAAAAACAAGGAAAGAAUUCUUACAAAAACAACUAGAAGAACGUCUUUAUGUUGAGAACUUAUUCAAAGACGAAGAAGAGAUGGGUGAUGAAAGAACCUUGAAGGAGCUAGCUGCACCUAAACUGGAUGGUGAACCACUGGGCGUUGUUUUUCCAACCUUGGAGAAACCUCUAAAGUUAAACUCAGGUUUUCUCAAACUUUUACCAAAAUUCUAUGGCCGUGGAGGUGAGGAUCCAAAUCGAUUUCUUGAAGAAUGUCUAGUUGUGUGUUCUUCUAUGAAACCAGAAGGUAUUGAUCCUAAUCAUGUCAAACUACAUUCCUUUCCAUUUUCAUUAUAUGAUAUAACUAAAGAUUGGUUGUAUUCACUUCCUCCUGGAUAAAUUACUACGUAGGAUGCACUACAAAAAGCUUUUCUAGAAAAUUUCUUCCCUACUAGUAGAAUUGGAUCCAUUAGGAAGGAGAUUUGUGGUGUCAAGCAACAUUCUAAUGAGUCAUUAUAUGAAUAUUGGGAACGUUUUAAGAGACUUUGAACUUCUUGCCCCCAACAUCAAAUUAGUGACCAACUUCUUACCAAUAUUUUUAUGAGGGUCUUUUGGGUAACGAUAAAAAUAUGAUUGAUGCGGCUAGUGAGGGUGCUUUAGUUGAUAAAACACCUACACAAGCUAGACAAUUAAUUAGUAACAUGGCCCAAAAUGCUCGACAAUUUGGCUCACGUAGCGAUGUGAAAACAGUAAAUGAAAUUGAUUUAACUUCUGUUAAAAGUCAUUUACAGGAAAAUGCACAACAAAUAGCCACCCUCACUACAUUGAUGUCUAAGUUUGUAAGGAAUGAAUGUAGGGCUAAAGUUUGUGGUAUUUGUUUUGAUUUUUCUCACAAUACUGAUGCUUGUCCUACUGUGCAAUCUGAAAAUGUGAAUGCAUUAGGACGCUUUUCUGGUCACCCCCGAAGAAAGUAUGAUCCCUUUUCACCCACUUAUAACAGAGGUUGGAGAGACCAUCCGAACUUAAGAUAUGGACAUAGACCUCAGUUUACUCAAGCUAAUCCUCGACCUUUUAUUCAUCAAAACCCUCAAUCUCAACCUUCUAACCCUUCCUUAGAAGACUUAGUGAAGCAACUUACCACCCAAAUUGGCCAAGUACAUAAUCAGAAUGUUGAGUAUCAACAGAAAACUGAUUCUCAUCUCCCAUAACUUGACACCCAGAUUGGCAAAUUUGUACUUCUUUAGUUAAUAUAGAAAAUCAUGUAUCAGGCAAACUACCAUCUCAACCUUUGCAGAAUCGAAGUAAACAAGUUAAUGCAAUCUCACUAGAGAGAAGAACCACAAUGGAUGAGCCUUUAGGAAAUUUGAAUGAACAUGAAGAUAAUGAAAUGCAAGGAAAUAGAAUUCUGUUAUUAGAUGCAAUAAAGGUGGUUCCUAAAUGUAGUAAACUCUUGAAUGACUUUCUCACUACAUCUAACAAACACAAAGGAGAAGAAGUUUUGAGACCUCUUAUUAUACCACCCCCAAAAUGUGAAGACCCUGGAUCAUUCUCAAUUCCGUGUAGGAUAGGUGAGACUAUUUUUCGACAAUGCGUGUUAGAUUUAGGAUCUGCAGUAAAUGUUUUGCCCUUCUCUUUAUAUGACAGCUAUAAGAUGGGACCAUUAAAGACUUGUAGUGAGAUACUUACUAUGGCUGAUGGUAGCAGUGUUUGUUAUGUCGGAUUAUUAGAGAACAUUCUCGUUCAAGUCAAGCACAUGUGCUUUCUGGUUGAUUUUAUUGUUAUCAAUGUAAUGCAUGAUUCUGAGAUUUUAUUUGGGAGACAAUUCCUAAAGACUUCAAAAGCAUUAAUUGAUGUUGCUCACGAUUGUGUCACUCUUGAGAGCAAUGGAGAGAAACUGAAUUUAAAUUAUUUGAGCAGGAUGGUUCUGAUAUAGAGUCAGGUGCUACUAAUUAUGUUGCUUAUUAUCUUGCGCAGCUUGGACCGGAAAAUUUGGAGAUUUUAUUAGAUGAUAUGGUGAACGAUGUAGGACUAGAGCACAUGUUGAUGAAUGCUCUAAAUGAAAUCAAUUUGUUAGAUUGAAGAUAGAAAUAUGUCGAGCCAACGACGUAAACUAAAGGCGCUACUUGGGAGGCAACCCAUGACUGUUUCGUUUUCUUUUAUAUAUUAACUUUUGCUGAUUUUUUUUUUCUUUUCUACUUUUUCUUUGUUUUAUUUUCUUUCCUUCUUCAUAUUCAUAUAAUUUCUUUAUAUCUUAAUGUUAGAUUAUGCUGAUGUUUUCCUUCUUGCUAUGGGCCUCACUAAACAACCAAUACACUAUUGACAGUAGUACUACAACACAAUACCAAGGAUAUUGUCACUUGCUCCAAUCUUCGUCACAAAACCAGCUAAGUUCCUCUUACUUUUCUUUUCUUUUUGUUUCAUUGGGGACAAUGAAAAAUGUAAGUGUGGGGGAGAUGCAUGCUUCUUCGAUUUUGUGGUAUAGAUGGUUUGGGGUAGAGAAAGAAGUAUAAAUGUCCUACUUUGAGAGGACAUGCUGUCAAAAAUUUUGAGUUAGGCUAGUAUAAGUUAUCUUUCUAUUGCAAUUGCAUAGUAGUUUUAUUAUUGUUUGUCUUUUUUUUUUAGUUUUACAAUUGUUGCAUUUUAUUUAGGAUUUCCAGCUCUUUAUUUCCUAAGGAAUGACUAUUAUUAAAAGUUGAUAAGAAACUCUAAUCUAACUUGUUUUUGAAAUAACAUAAAAAAAAAUUCAAAAUAAAAGAUUUCGGAAAUGUUAUAUAAUUGAAAAAUACGAGUCGAACUUGAGAGAUUCAUAAUAUAAUUCCAGAAAAAAAGGUAUCUUGCUUCUCUUAAAUAAUCUGGCUAGAUAAAUAGACCAAGUCUUAUGAGCUUCUGAGCCUAUUAGACUGACACAUCUACGUCAGUCUCAUCAUUUUUCUAUUUUUUUUUCUUGUGUGAUAGUUCCUCAAUGAAGUGUGGCUCUUGAAGUUGACUUGGUACUCUUUGAUACUUUUGUGAUAAAUGUUAUGAAGAAAUGAUUUAGGCGUUCUUUUCAUAUAUUUUAACCUCAGAGAUCUUCUUUCAUAUAAUAUUUCCCGUUCUUUAGCCCUUGUGAGCCUUAAUAUCCUCAUUUCUUUAUUAAUCAUACCUUACAAACCUGCAGCCUCCUACAUAUUAUACCCAAGCCUAGCUAGGGAGAGUUAUUAAGUUGAGUUUGUAUUGUAAGUUUUUGUUAUGAUGAAAAAAAAAAUAUUGCCAAAAGAAAAAGGGAAGAAACAAAACAUGGGUUAUGACAUUGAAAAAAAUUAUUUGAGAAGAAAAACGGGAAAAAGAAUAACAAAAAAAAAAAAGUGUUUGAAGAUUAUAGAUUGGUGAAAAUGCUAUGAAUUAUACGAGGACUUGUUAGAAUUACAUUAUUAUUUGUUGUUGAUAUGGAGGAGGUGAUAUAAACGAAAUUAAUGUAGUUGGAGUAUGAUGAAGUAUAAAUGGAGUUCGUUGUGAUCGAAAUAUCUUAGGUCAUGUAUUUUUGCUCCCUUUAAUUAGCUUCUUUUCAACUCCGAAUUCCUAAAUAUUAUCCCUACCUUGUAAACCUUAGCCACGUUACAACCUAUUAAAAGACCUUUUGAUCUUUAUGCAUUAUGUCACUACCAAGUGGAGAAUUGAGACGAUAGUCAAGUUUACACAAAUAUACUUCAUUUUGAGUCGACUCGGUUAUAAGUUUGAGUGAAUAUUAUUUUAACCCCAAACACAUGAGAGUUGAGUGUUUUAUUUAUACCUAUGAUGGUCUAUUUAUUGAACUUGAUACGCAUACAUUUGUGGAUUCAAGUUAGAUAUUUUUGAGUUGUAAAGAUAACAAUUAGUUCAUGAAAUAUUAUGAGAUCUGAAAGUUCCAUUGUAACACUAAGAAUAUGACAUCUCCAUUAACAUUUUCUCAACGUUUUUCUGACUAACUUUAAAAUGUUUUAGUUUCUUAUGGUGUGCUUAUCUAAUAUUGUUACAUUUUGUUUCUUUAUUAAUGUCAUUAUAAUAUCUAUAUUUGCUGGUAUAAGGAUUUGUGGGUAUGCCAUCUGAAAAUCCUCACCAGACCUUACUCGUCCACUAGGGUACCCUAGGGUUUUAAAGGGCUUAUUGCACAUGCUAAGUACAAUAAUGAUUCCUACGACAGUGAGUUAGGUUUAUUGCUUUCCUAGUAUAGUUUAAUUUUUAUUUUCGUAGUAUUUUGAUCGAGGGCGACCAAAAGCUAAGUGUGGGGGGAUUUGAUAAGUGUAUAUAUUUACAUAUUUUUGUUCCUUAAAUUUAGUCUUGUAGUCGUCUUCUAUGCGUUAUUUUAUAAUUUUUAUUUUUUACUAUUAGUGGGUUAUAUAUGUCUCUAUUAUAUUUUAUUGAAUAAAUAUAUUAAAUAGUGUAUUAUUUUAAUUUUAGGUAUUUCACAAAUUCACUUUGAUAAAGAAAGACAACAAGAAUAAAAGAAAAGAAAAUUAAAACCACUUUAGGUGGGAUGCAAAGAAAAGAAGAAAUACAAAAAGGAAAUGUUGUGGGUGCUCACGCGAGCUUGUGGAAAACAAAAUAGGAAACUCAUAUUUCCUUCCUCCUUAUUUCCUUCCUUUAAUGUGCAGAGCAAUAGGAAAUAGGAAAUUUCCUAUUUUCUAGUCCCACGAUCAAGUAGUAAAGGAAAAGGAAAAUUGUUCCUCUGAUUCAAGAGCCUAAUUUCGGGAAUAUGGAGCAUAUGAGAUUAUUUCUUUCCAUCUCUACAAAUAAUUUCCCUAAAAUUGAUAAUUGGGGAUUUCUCAAUUGGCUAUAUAAAUCCCUAAUUUCUACCGCAAGAAGGUAUGCAAGCAUUGUCUGAUUUUUGGGUAAAGAGAAACGAGGGAGAAUUGGAGUAAAUUAGCAGUCUUUGGGCUGCAAUUGGAGCAAGGUGAACAGCAAGGAGACGACAGUUUCGAGUACGAGUGCCGGCAGAAAUUCGUCCAGUAUUGAGUGAUAAACUCUUCUCUUCUCUUGUAUUACUUUGAUUUGCUAUAUCAGUUUUAAUCAAUAAACUUGAAUCUUGUUUAAACUUGAAUUUUAUCAUGAUUUUUUUGGGUUGAUUAUUGAGUAUAUAGAUUAUUUGAUAUUCAAUUUUACAUUGCUUUAAAUGUCGUAUGAUUGGAGUUUGCGUAUAAUUUGCUAUCUUAUUGUGCUUAAAUUUCAAUUUAUUGCUAAUUAUGUAGUUUGGCCUAACUUAAAUUGCUUAAUAAAAGUAGAGACUAAUGUUAGUUUGGGUCUGCGAAUGGGUCAGAUUAAUGUUAGAGUGUAAUUUUAUCUAAUUAUAUUAAGUACCUUUGUAUUAAUUUAAUUAGGAUUAAUGAUGUUCUUCUAGUUUAUAAUGCUUCUAGAUGUAGUCAUUGAGGGUUGCGAUCAUAUUUUCAAUGGCAAGUCUAGUCUAGAAUUAGUGUCGGCCUAGUUCAAUACUAAUUUAAAGUAAGGAAGAAUAGGGUGGGAUUGCUAUCAAAACCACUAUAGUUAAUCUAUUAGAUUAAUCUUCAACUCGAUAAUUAUACUCAAUAUUAUGACUAAAGUUACUAAAGUUUAAUGGUGGAAAUUAUCCGACUUGCUUGUCAUCACUUGUAGAUAGUAGAUUAGUUUUACUUUACAUAGUUUAUUAGUUACUACAAUCUUAAACCCCCCCUAACCUAAGUAAAUAGGUGAGUAGUUGUAUAAUUACGAUUUUAUAUGUUGAUAAUAUUUUUCUCAGUUAAACUUUGAAGUAAGAAAUUUAGUAGUCUCUCCGUGGGAUGGACCCUUUUCUACUUGUUAAUAUUUUUGAGGUCUAAGAAUAGGUUUUUAAUUUAAUACGGUAAACGACACGUGUCAAUGAAAAUAUGGGAUGUUUUCAAAUUAGUUAGAUUUUUCAUUGAAUCUGAAUUAGGCAAGUUUUAAGUAAAUAAGAUAAUUUUGAAGCUGAAGUUUUUCUUGUUUGUCUUGUUAGAUUAAAUAUGCUUAUGUUUCAACGGGAUAAAUAAGAUUAUAGUGAUCAAAGAAAAAAAAAACUUUUGGUAAUCAUAAUGAUAGUUACAAUAUCAAAUUCAUCAUAUUCUUCUUAAUUUUCUUGUCCUCACUUUGCUCAGCUUUUCAAGAUGACUGACAGUUUGGACAAAAGUUUUGAAGGUGGAUUUCUUCUACUUUCUUUAGGAAUUCUCACUUAUUAUAGUAGUUCCUCUUUAAUGACAUUUAUAUUAUCUUUUCUCCCUUAAGUUUCCUGUUUUUGAUUUUUCCUCUUUAACGAAUGGUUUUCAGCUUUGUGGCUUAACAACCGGGGUGGUUUAUUCCUGGUUAUCACAUCUAAGUAUACAUUUUUGAUUUGUUAUUUAGUCUUAUUUUAUCAUUUUUAUUACUUCUUUUUGAAGUGCAGGUUACUUUGAUGUAUUAAAGUUUGUUGGGGAUUCGAGUUUCAUUUGCCAACUCUUAGGAACAUGCAGACUUUCUCCUGUUAAUUUAAUCUUUUCUUUCUCUUGUUUAUAUGAAUUUAGCAUUUAUAAGGUUUUUGAUGCUAAUGUUGCAGACCUUCCGUCUGGGCUAUGCUUCAUCUCAGUUUUGAGUUAUUUUCGUUACAAUUGCCUUCUUGUCAUGCCUGCUAAUUUUGCUCCUAACAGUACAAUUAAUGUGUCGCUUUUGUUUUUCUACAGACAUAAUUUGUAGAUUUCUCCACCUCGCGUUCUCUCUUGGAUUAACCACUUUUAGGGUUUUUACUUAAUGAGAGCAAGCUUCAAAGAUCUAAUGGCGGACGAUGAAUACAAUGAUUUGGAGAUGGGAGAAAGCAACGUGGAUCAGUUGGAGUAUCAUUGAAUGUAAUGAGGUAAAAACCCGCAACAAACACAAUAGAUUGCAUUAAUGCAGCUCAAAGAGCUCAAGAUUUUCAACUUGGUUGGUUUCUCGAUCCACUGAUGUUUGGGGACUAUCCAAGCUCAACGAGGGAGCGAGUUGGGGAUCAUUCACCAAACAUUUAUGCAGCAGGAUCAACUCUUUUGAAUGAGUCUCUAGGACAAGACAAAUGUCUCAAUGAUAUACACCAGUAUAAG